rnacentral:rRNA from 1 species
GGAUGAGUCUUGCACAAUGGGGGGCAACCCUGAUGCAGCGACGCCGCGUGAGCGAUGAAGCCCUUCGGGGUGCAAAGCUCUUUCGGCAGGGAAGAUAGUGACGGUACCUGCAGAAGCAGCUGCGGCUAACUACGUGCCAGCAGCCGCGGUAAUACGUAGGCAGCAAGCGUUGUUCGGAGUUACUGGGCGUAAAGGGUGUGUAGGCGGUCCGUAAGUCUGGUGUGAAAUCUCCCGGCUCAACUGGGAGGGUGCGCCGGAAAGCUGCGGGGCUAGAGUGUGGGAUGGGAGAGUGGAAUUCCUGGUGUAGCGGUGAAAUGCGUAGAUAUCAGGAGGAACACCUGCGGUGUAGACGGCUCUCUGGACCAUUACUGACGCUGAAACACGAAAGCGUGGGUAGCAAACA